rnacentral:rRNA from 1 species
UGUCGAAAGACGUAACCGAUGGACAACAGGUUGAAAUUCCUGUACCUUAAGUAAACAGAACUGUGGGGACACGUGUGGAGAGCACAAGCCGGAAAUGGAAAAGCCGGUGCAAGCGAGGUAGGAGAUGAAUAGGCAAAUCCGUUCACCAAUCCGAAGACGUGAUGCGGACCGAAUUAAGAGUAGGGAAGUGUGUGAGCCAUGCGUCAAGAAAAGCCGCUAUUGUUUUACUUAAGCCCGUACCGUAAACCGACACAGGUGGAUGAGGAGAGAAUCCUAAGGCCGACGGGAGAAGCAUUGUUAAGGAACUCGGCAAAAUGACUCCGUAACUUCGGGAGAAGGAGUGCCAGCGAGAGCUGGCCGCAGAGAAUUGGCCCAAGCAACUGUUUAGCAAAAACACAGGUCUAUGCAAAACCGUAAGGUGAAGUAUAUGGGCUGACGCCUGCCCGGUGCUGGAAGGUUAAGAGGAGAGGUUAGCGGCAACGUGAAGCUUUGAAUUUAAGCCCCAGUAAACGGCGGCCGUAACAAUAACGGUCCUAAGGUAGCGAAAUUCCUUGUCGGGUAAGUUCCGACCCGCACGAAAGGCGUAAUGAUUUGGGCACUGUCUCAACAAUGCACCCGGUGAAAUUGAAAUACCAGUGAAGAUGCUGGUUACCUGCGCCAGGACGGAAAGACCCCAUGGAGCUUUACUCCAGCUUGAUACUGGGAUUCGGUAUUGCAUGUACAGGAUAGGUGGGAGGCUAGGAAGUGAUAACGCCAGUUGUCACGGAGCCGCUGUUGGGAUACCACCCUUGCAGUAUUGGAUUUCUAACCAGCGACCAUGAACUGGUCGGGGGACAAUGCCAGGUGGGGAGUUUGACUGGGGCGGUCGCCUCCGAAAGGGUAUCGGAGGCGCUCAAAGGUUCCCUCAGAAUGGACGGAAACCAUUCGAAGAGUGCAAAGGCAGAAGGGAGCUUGACUGCGACACCGACGGGUGGAGCAGGUACGAAAGUAGGACUUAGUGAUCCGGUGGUAUAAAGUGGGAUUGCCAUCGCUCAACGGAUAAAAGCUACCCUGGGAUAACAGGCUUAUCACUCCCAAGAGUUCACAUCGACGGAGUGGUUUGGCACCUCGAUGUCGGCUCAUCGCAUCCUGGGGCUGAAGUAGGUCCCAAGGGUUGGGCUGUUCGCCCAUUAAAGCGGUACGCGAGCUGGGUUCAGAACGUCGUGAGACAGUUCGGUCCCUAUCCGGCGUGGGCGUAGGAUAUUUGAGAGGAGCUGUCCUUAGUACGAGAGGACCGGGAUGGACUGGCCGCUGGUGUAUCUGUUGCAUACCAAGUGCAUGGCAGAGUAGCCAAGCCGGGACGGGAUAAACGCUGAAGGCAUCUAAGCGUGAAGCCCCCCUCAAGAUGAGAUAUCCCUACGUAAGUAGUAAGACCCCUUGAAGACGACGAGGUAGAUAGGUCAGAGGUGGAAGUACAGUAAUGUAUGGAGCUGACUGAUACUAAUCAGUCGAGGGCAUGACC